GGGCAUGUGGCGGAAUUGGCAGACGCGCAUGACUUAGGAUCAUGUCCCGUAACGGGGUGUGGGUUCGAGUCCCACCAUGCCCACCA
rnacentral:tRNA from 1 species